AUUGAACGCUGGCGGCAGGCCUAACACAUGCAAGUCGAACGAGCGGCGGACGGGUGAGUAAUGUCUGGGAAACUGCCUGAUGGCGGGGGAUAACUACUGGAAACGGUAGCUACUACCGCAUACCAUCAGAUGUGCCCAGAUGGGAUUAGCUAGUUGGUGGGGUAAAGGCUCACCAAGGCGACGAUCCCUAGCUGGUCUGAGAGGAUGACCAGCCACACUGGAACUGAGACACGGUCCAGACUCCUACGGGAGGCAGCAGUGGGGAAUAUUGCACAAUGGGCGCAAGCCUGAUGCAGCCAUGCCGCGUGUAUGAAGAAGGCCUUCGGGUUGUAAAGCACUUUCAGCGGAGAAGCGGUACCCGCAGAAGAAGCACCGGCUAACUCCGUGCCAGCAGCCGCGGUAAUUC
rnacentral:rRNA from 1 species